UUCAUAGAGUAGGCCAGCUGAAUUUACUGACCCAUGCAUUUAUUAAUUUUGAACUAAUCUUAUUUUCCCACAUGACGCAAUACACAGAGUAACCCAAAUGUUUGAGCCCUCAUUUAAAAACAGAAAAUUAUGAAACCCAAGUCCACUCCAUGAAGACACAGUGGGUUAAUGUUACAGUUUGGACCUCCACUGAAGCAACAGAGAACAGACUUGAGUUCCCAUCAGCCUCAGGGCCUCUCUGUCCUAGCCUGUCAUUGGCUGCUGCUGCACCACAGUCCUGGUGGUUGCUCUGCUCCCCAAGGAUCACUGUUACUGCAGAAACAAUAGAAAGCAAGAGAGGAAACACACCCUGUCCUUGGAAUCUAAAAAUGUCAUCUCACACACACAUGCACGCCAGAAGACACACAUUAUGUCCCCGUCUGCAGCAGGAAGGAUGUUUUCUUCCUUUCUUGUCUGCAGAUUAACAGUCUCAGUGGCGUGUUUAUAUGUCUGUGUGUGUUUGUGGAUCAUAGAGUGCGUGCAAAGUCUGUUGGUAUAGAUGUUUGUUCUAGUGCUAAAAAGGGAUCAAAAUAAGGGAAAAAAACCACUCUGGUCUGUGUCAGUGUGAGGCUGAUUGUGCUGUUCUUGGACGUAGAAUGAAUAUGGUUAUAUUCUGGGCAAGACAUUUAACUUGAAAGUUAGAAGCUACACUCUGGUAAAAGUGGUAAUAGGUAAGUUGCCUAAAAUUGAACACAGCCUUUAAUCUUCAAUUUGAAAAUUUGAAAGGUUCCUCUUAUCACUACCAAAUGAACAAAACGUUCAAUCUCACCUCACUAACAGAUUUAUCCUAUAACAGAGCCAGAGAGCCUUUGAAGGUCAAGAGAAGAUGGAGGUUACAGUGAUGGUACAGUGAGGUUGUAAAGAGGUUACAAAUAGGGAACAAGGGGUUACAAAGAGGAUAAAAGAGGUAACAAGGGGUUACAAAAAGGGUACAAAUAGGGAACAAGGGGUUCCAGAGAGGAUACAAAGAAGUAACAAGGGGUUACAGAGAGGAUACAAAGAGGUAACAAGGGGUUACAGAGAGGAUACAAAUAGGGAACAAGGGGUUACAGAGAGGAUACAAAGAGGUAACGAGGGGUUACAGAGAGGAUACAAAGAGGUAACAAGGGGUUACAAAGAGGAAUAGUUAAGAAAGGAUACCAAGAGGGUUCAGAGAGUGUACAAAAGGGGUAAAAAGAAGGUUCAGAGACAGUUUAUUGAGGGUAAGAAGAGGGUUCAAGGAGGAUACAUAGAGGUUACAGAGUGAGUAAAGAGACGGAUGAGAGUGGUUUGAAAGAGUGGAGGGAGGAUAGACAGAGGUUGGAGUGGAAGGAGUGAGUACACGUGUACUGAUUUUAUUUUAACCUAUCUUGACAGAGAUUCAAACAAGUUCAACAUAGACUGUAAAGCAGUCUGUUUACACUAAUGUGACAGAUACAGAGUGCUUUUAUGGUGUCUUUUCACAGGGCCCUGAAUUCAUGGACCCGGAGCACAAACUAUAAUUCAAUACAGUUUAACUAAACCCAGUUUGUUUUCAGUGUCUAGAAAAAUUCAAAUGUCUGAGCCAGUGUAAGAAGCUGUUCCAGGCUGAUUCCUCACUGCAGAAGCUAUAAAAAAGGUCUGUAAGAGGUUACUACUGUGGAGCUCAAUGGCAGCCUUGUCCAGCUGUGUGUGUUGGGGGAGCUGCUUCUGUCUCUAGACUCUUAAAAUUGACUGAUGGCUGAGGAGGAGAACCGCAGGAGUCCAGCUAGACCUGCUCUACAAUUGUACAUACAGAAAACUUUGUGUGUCUGUGUGUGUGUACGGUGUCUAGCCAAAGGUCUUAUAUAGAAAGCUAAACCACAAUAGCAGGUUGUAGUCAGACACAGUAAGUAUUCAUCAAGAUUUUUUUUUUUUUGAUCCCAUGCUCUUGCUGUCGAAAAUGCCGUGGCCGCAUUGCCUUUUCAGAGCACAGCACUCAUCAACAUCCAACCAAACACAGACUUGUACACACGCACACAUGCUUCAGUAAUGACUUUGUAGACUUUGGAUCAUUAUGAUGGCAAGAGAGCUUAAAACACUCUCAUUAAGGUUCGAUUUAUAUUUCAUGGUCCAUAUUUGUGUUUUGUCUUUAUUAGAUAGGACAGCUGAAGAGAGAGUAAAUGCAGGAAGCGGAGCAAGGAGUAGGAUUUGACCGUUACAUAAUCAAACCUCUCACUUAACAACAAACUAUAUUGCACCAACAUGCACAGAUUGAUACACAAACAAUGUAAGGUACUCUGUACGUUGGCAUGACCCUUAAAGGGACAUUCUGGCAUAAAAUGUCGAUGGACUCGCCUGGAGGUCUCCAUUCAAACAAGUGGCUGCUGGAAGAGAGUGGGUGAGUUGUGUUUAGUCUCUUUGCUAAAGAAAUUAGGCAAAGUUAAAAAGAUGUUUGGUGACUAGUACUAUGGCUGGGACCCUAUAUAUACUGUUGAUUAAGUUAGGUGCUGUUCUGAGCAUUAUUUGUGGCUAUAGAGUGACGUUUUGGUUGAGCGUGUGGCUCUCUGUAUUGCUAUCUGCUGUCAUUACUAAAGUUGGUAAAUACGCUUGCUUCUCUAGUAAUCUAGAGACGCAAGCG
rnacentral:lncRNA from 1 species